ACUGCGAAUGGCUCAUUAAAUCAGUUAUCGUUUAUUUGAUAGUGCCCUUUACUACUUGGAUAACCGUGGUAAUUCUAGAGCUAAUACAUGCAUAAAGCCCCGACUUCUGAAGGGGUGUAUUUAUUAGAUAAAAAACCAAUGCCCCUCGGGGCUCUUUGGUGAAUCAUGAUAACGCAACGAAUCGCAUGGCCUUGCGCCGGCGAUGGUUCAUUCAAAUUUCUGCCCUAUCAACUUUCGAUUGUAGUUUAGUGGACUACAAUGGUUUCAACGGGUAACGGGGAAUUAGGGUUCGACUCCGGAGAGGGAGCCUGAGAAACGGCUACCACAUCCAAGGAAGGCAGCAGGCGCGCAAAUUACCCAAUCCCGACACGGGGAGGUAGUGACAAUAAAUACUGAUACAGGGCUCUUUUGGGUCUUGUAAUUGGAAUGAGUACAAUCUAAAUCCCUUAACGAGGAACAAUUGGAGGGCAAGUCUGGUGCCAGCAGCCGCGGUAAUUCCAGCUCCAAUAGCGUAUAUUAAAGUUGUUGCAGUUAAAAAGCUCGUAGUUGAACCUUGGGCCUGGCCGGCCGGUCCGCCUCACCGCGUGCACUGGUUCGGCCGGGUCUUUCUUUCUGCGGAGCCGCAUGCCCUUUAUUGGGUGUGUUGGGGAAGCAGGACUUUUACUUUGAAAAAAUUAGAGUGUUCAAAGCAGGCCUUUGCUCGAAUACAUUAGCAUGGAAUAAUAGAAUAGGACGGCCCUCCUAUUUUGUUGGUUUCUAGGGGAGCCGUAAUGAUUAAUAGGGACAGUUGGGGGCAUCCGUAUUGCGCUGUCAGAGGUGAAAUUCUUGGAUUUGCGCAAGACGAACUACUGCGAAAGCAUUUGCCAAAGAUGUUUUCAUUAAUCAG
rnacentral:rRNA from 1 species